rnacentral:sRNA from 18 species
CCUAGCACUUCCGUGCCAGGUUAAUGUAUGGCGUGCCUUCGGCACU